rnacentral:rRNA from 1 species
GACGAACGCUGGCGGCGCGCUUAACACAUGCAAGUCGAACGAUGAAGCCGGAGCUUGCUCUGGUGAAUUAGUGGCGAACGGGUGAGUAACACGUGAGUAACCUGCCCUUGACUCUGGGAUAACUGCGGGAAACUGUAGCUAAUACCGGAUACGACCCUCGGAGGCAUCUCCUGGGGGUGGAAAGAAUUUCGGUGAAGGAUGGACUCGCGGCCUAUUAGCUAGUUGGUGAGGUAAAGGCUCACCAAGGCGACGACGGGUAGCCGGCCUGAGAGGGUGACCGGCCACACUGGGACUGAGACACGGCCCAGACUCCGACGGGAGGCAGCAGUGGGAAUAUUGCACAAUGGGCGCAAGCCUGAUGCAGCAACGCCGCGUGAGGGAUGACGGCCUUCGGGUUGUAAACCUCUUUUAGCAGGGAAGAAGCGAAAGUGACGGUACCUGCAGAAAAAGCACCGGCUAACUACGUGCCAGCCGCCGCCGUAA